AUUUAUUGAGCCGUUGGCACAAUCGAUUGCUUUCAAUCGCUCACAAUUGGUCGGCCGUGAUUCUUCUUUGCGAUCGCUCUAAAGUAGUGUAGUGCAGGCUGAACGAAUUAUAAUCAUGUUGCAGUGCGUGGUGGCUCUGGUGAUGGGCUUGUUCUCCAUCCUUGCGAUGCAUGAGGGCCUCACAGUUAUGCUAGGGGCAUCAAACAUCUGCCCGCAAGGAAUGCGGUUGGAUCAUCGUGGCGUGUGUCGGAAUAUCUUUGAUUGGCAUGAUUCUGAUGCAAUCAGUGCGUAACGAAGCAGAACAUUCAAUUAGAAGCAGUAUAUGUGUGUGUGUUUGUGUUAAAAUUGAAACAAUGCAUACUUUAUGCUUAGUGAAAACUGAUCUUAAAAUAAGUUAACAUUACUUUUAGCUCAUAAGCUUUUGAAUUAUUGGCCCCAAGUGGACAAACCAUUGGCUCUGCGUUAAUUAAGUAGUGCAAGAAUCCAUCCUCAAUUACACAAUAAGUGUACUUAAUAUAAUAAAAUGUCGAUGAAAGUGUUUGAUUUCGAAUAUACAG